GACGAACGCUGGCGGCGUGCCUAACACAUGCAAGUCGAACGGAGAUGAUGGGAUAGCUUGCUAUUUAAUCAUCUUAGUGGCGGACGGGUGAGUAACACGUGGGCAACCUGCCCCAAAGAGGGGGAUAACACCGAGAAAUCGGUGCUAAUACCGCAUAACAUUAGAGCUUCGCAUGGAGCUUUAAUCAAAGGAGCAAUCCGCUUUGGGAUGGGCCCGCGUCUGAUUAGCUAGUUGGUGAGGUAACGGCUCACCAAGGCGACGAUCAGUAGCCGAUCUGAGAGGAUGACCGGCCACACUGGAACUGAGACACGGUCCAGACUCCUACGGGAGGCAGCAGUGGGGAAUAUUGCACAAUGGGGGAAACCCUGAUGCAGCAACGCCGCGUGGAGGAAGAAGGUCUUCGGAUUGUAAACUCCUGUCUUCUGGGACGAAUAAUGACGGUACCAGAGGAGGAAGGCCACGGCUAACUACGUGCCAGCAGCCGCGGUAA
rnacentral:rRNA from 1 species